GGCAUGCGCCACCAUGCCCAACUAAUUUUUUUGUAUUUUUAGUACAGACGGGGUUUCACCAUGCUGGCCAGGCUGGUCUCGAACUCUUGAUCUCGUGAUCCGCCUGCCUCGGCCUCCCGAAGUGCUGGGAUUACAGGUGUGAGCCACCAUGCCCGGCCUACAAAAAUUGGAAUUUUAUUGCAAUUACUUUUGGGUGCUUUGCUACUGGAAUCUUGGUGAAGUAUGGUUAAGACCUGGUCUAAAUCCCCGUGAGAAUGGGGAAGUUUUCCCGUGACUGCUAACUAAAGGUCUAGCCUCUGAUUGAGCACUUGGAUUGAUGAGGAGGAACUCACUGCAACAUUUUAAGACAACUCAUUCCACAGCUCUCACUUUUGGAAAAUCCUUACUUGUCAGUCUUUAAGUCCUACUGACUUUAUCUUGUCAACAUCUCUAAUCCAGCUCUUCCACCCUAUCCCCUCUAGUUACAACCUUAGUCCAGGCUCUGGGUUUUCCCACCUGGACUGUUGUAGCUGCUGCCAGUCUGCAUUCCUUUCUCCCAUCUCCCACCCCUUCAAUCCAGGUUCCAAGUCACCCUUCUAGUCACAUUUGGAUCAACACUGCAACACUUCUAAGACACAAAACCUGAUCAUGUCACCUCCCUGUUUAGUACUCUUGGGUAGUCUCCCAUUCUCUAGAGGAAGCAGGUCUUGCAGGAUCCUUCACAAUCUGGUCCCCACUUAUCCUUCCAACUUUAUUUCUGGCCAGGACUCCCAUGAACUUAUGCAUAAAUAUCAGUACUUCUAAUGUGCUUAUAAGGUCUGAAGAUGAAAUUGUUUCAUGACAGCCUUUUCUUACUUUUUCUCUGCAAUGUCUUACCCUACUCUCAUCUGCCUGGCAAAUGCACAGGAAAGGCAAAACAAAUAGGCAACAAGUACAAGCUGCUUGGACUAUAAUCACACUUGCAGUGUGACCUUCGAUAGGUUAACAAUCUGUCUGCUUCAGUUUCAUCAAUCUGUAAAACUGGGUGAGCAAAGUGGACUACUUUGUAAGGUUAGUAGGUGGUCUGAGUGAAGUAAAAGUAUUUAGCAUACCCACUGGCGUUUAAAUACUCCAGAAGCAGAUAUUGUUAGCUCCUUGCAAGUGUUCAAGGGUUGCCUUCUCCAUGCAACUUACCCAACUUCUUCCCCCAGGUUACCAUUAGCCAGUUCCUUUUUUGGGCAGUGGGAACUAAACCCAGUACACUUAUUUCUCUCACAGCACUCCCCACAUUUAUUAUACUACAGAUGCCUUUCAGCUUAUAAUGGGGCUAUAUCCUAAUAAACCCAACAAAAGUUGAAAAUACUGUUAAGUGAAAAAUGCAUUUAAUACACCUAGCCUACCUUAAACCUACUCAGAUCACUUACAUUAGCUUACAGUUGGGCAAACUCAUCUAACACAAAGCCUAUUUUAUAAUAAAGUGUUGAAUGUCUCAUGUAAUUUAUUGAAUACUGUACUGAUUGUAUGGAUACUUGAAGUGCUGUUUCUACGGAAUGUGUAUAGCUUUUGCACAAUCCUAAAGUUGAAAAACUGGAAGUCAAACCAUCAUUAUGUUCAGGCCCAUCUGUAUUUCUGACCCCCUACUAGACUAGCUCCUUGAGGGAAAGGGCCAAAGUCCUCCAGCAUUUAGCACUGGCCUUGCAUAUCUAACAGAGGUUCAACAUUCACUGAAAUGGGGUCGGGGGGAAGAGUAGCCAGAAAUUGACCUUUU
ensembl:lncRNA